UUUCUUUUUCAUUAUGACUGACUUAAGAGCUUUCAAAUAUUAAAAUUUCAUACCACACACAUUCAUAUGAUAGCCCCAUAUCAUCACAAGGUUACACCAUAUCAUCUCAAGCCUACACCAUAUCAUCUCAAGGUUACACCAUAUCAUCACAAGGUUGCUCCAUAUCAUCACAAGAUUACACCAUAUCAUCUCAAGCCUCAACAUAUCAUCACAAGGUUACACCGUAUCAUCACAAGGUUCCGACAUAUCAUCACAAGGUUCCUCCAUAUCAUCACAAAGUUACACCAUAUCAUCUCAAGCCUACACCAUAUCAUCACAAGGUUGCUCCAUAUCAUCACAAGGUUACACCAUAUCGUCACAAGGUUGCUCAAUAUCAUCACAAUGCUACACCAUAUCAUCACAAGGUUACACCAUAUCAUGUCAAGGUUAUGGAAUGUUGUGUUAAGUGUUUCAGGUCACUAGUACAUAUCUAGAAUAUGUUCUAUCUGCCCAAAAGCUCCUUAAUUAAUUCUCUGUAUUCUGUGUCACCAGUGUAUUACAUAUUGCAUUCUUUGGAAGAGAUUAAAUAUCAUGUUAGAAUAAUAGGUUUAUAUUGUUUUGUGACAAGAAACAAGCCUAGAUUAACUUUCCAGCUAAAUGGUAGGCAUAUGGCUACCAUUGUAGAAUAUCAUGGAGUUAUAAGGUCUUUAGCUUACAUAUGUUAUGUGGUAUGGCCCAGUUGGAGUUACCUUGGAUAAUUAAUACCACAGUCACAUAACUAAACAUCAAUUGUAUUUACUUACUUGAAGCAUCAAUAAUCUGCAUGUGUGAUUGCUCACAAAGACAGGUAGUGUCAGGGAUAAUUGUCAUAAUACAAGCUGAUCCAGUGACAUGUCCAAGUCUUUGUUGUCUUCGUUGUGUAGGAUAAAACACUCAUGUUCAGGCACUGAAACAUUUAUUUCAGGUUGAGUGCAAAGUGUGUUU
rnacentral:lncRNA from 1 species